AGGAUGAAAAAUUUUGUCCUGCUUUUUUUUUUAGUUGUAAUCUCUGUCCUGCCUUUUUAUUUUUUACUCUAUUCGGUCCUGCCUUUUUUUUUUACUAGUUUAUCCUGACUUUUUUUACACAAAUUGUCAUCCUAACUUUUUUUUUUUACCAAGUUGCUCAUCCUGCCUUUUUUUUUUACUCAAAACUCCUGUCCUGCCUAUUUUUUCAAAUUUCAUCCUAGCCCCCCCAUAAAAAUCAAAUGGUAGCUCCCUUAAGAGAUUCAGAUUGAUGAAUACUUUUAAAAAUAAAACAUCGGGCAAGCAAGACAAAAAGAAUGACGAAUCAAGUCGAAAGCAUGAAACGCAAACGGAGAUGGUCAAGGUGUAAAAAAAAAUACGGAAGCGAGAAUAUCAGACAUCGUGAAUAUCAGAUUAUCCCUUGGAAAGAAAUUCAGAUAAUAAGUUUUGUUUUUGUCUUAUUUAUAGAUCAAAGGCAACCUUAUGUGUUGUCUAAGUGCCAAAUAGAAGUGUUUAACUACCAUGACUACCAAGAAAAAAAACAAGUGUGUCAGUUGAUAGAAAUAAUUAGUUAAAUUCUAUUAUUUAGUUUCCAUUUCUUGACUCACUGCCCUCUAUAUUUUGUAUAAUAUGUAGUGUACCUACUGGCUACAAUUUUUAUUAAAAGACAAUGCUGAAAACUUUACAUGUUAUUUCAUUUAGUUGGUUUGCUUUUGAGUUUCUGUCCCAUUGAUGUGAUAAACCCAUUGCCAACAUUCCUAAAUUUUUACACUUAUAUAUAAACCAAUUGAUUUCACUGAUUUGUUUGGUAUGCUAAACAGUGCUAAGAAUCAAAUAUUAGCUGACAAUAAAAUACUACAAUAUUUAUUGGGACCAUCAGGGCAAGUCACUUUUUUUCCG
rnacentral:lncRNA from 1 species